rnacentral:rRNA from 1 species
GGCCACCGCUAUUGGAAUUCGAUUAAGACAUGCGAGUCGAGAGGUAACUCGGCGGACCGCUCAGUAACACGCGGAUAACAUGCCCUAAGGUGGAGGAUAAUCUCGGGAAACUGAGAAUAAUACUCCAUAGAUCUAGAAUGCUGGAAUGCUUUUAGGUCGAAAACUCCGGUGCCUUAGGAUUGGUCUGCGGCGUAUCAGGUUGUAGUAGGUGUAACGGACCCACUAGCCGAUUACGCGUAUGGGCCUUGAGAGAGGAAGCCCAGAGAUGGACUCUGAGGCAUGAGUCCAGGCCCUACGGGGCGCAGCAGUCGCGAAAACUUCACAAUGGGGGCAACCCCGAUGAGGGAAUUCCAAGUGCUAGCACUUUGUGUUAGCUGUUCUUUUGUCUAAAAAACAAGAGAAGUAAGGGCCGGGUAAGACGGGUGCCAGCCGCCGCGGUAAUACCCGCGGCCCGAGUGGUGGUCGAUAUUAUUGAGCCUAAAACGUUCGUAGCCGGUCUUGUAAAUCCUUGGGUAAAUCGGCCAGCUUAACUGUCCGAAGUCCGGGGAGACUGCAAGACUUGGGAUCGGGAGAGGUCAGAGGUACUUCUGGGGUAGGGGUAAAAUCCUGUAAUCCUAGAAGGACCACCGGUGGCGGAGGCGUCUGACUAGAACGAAUUCGACGGUGAGGAACGAAGCCCUGGGGCGCAAACGGGAUUAGAUACCCCGGUAGUCCAGGGUGUAAACGCUGCGGGCUUGGUGUUGGGGGUCCUUAGUGGGCGCCCAGUGCCGGAGAGAAGUUGUUAAGCCUGCUGCUUGGGGAGUACGUCCGCAAGGAUGAAACUUAA